AUAAAAUCUGUAGGGCCACCUGAUAAAAAAUCCGAGUACCCAGAGGGCGAAAUGUUUGCUUCAACUACCUUGUCGUCAUCGUAUCAUUAUCAGUGGAACACCACUCCAGAACAAUCUCAAGGAACUAUGGGCUUUAUUUAAUUUCUCCUGUCCAGAGCUGCUAGGUGACAAAAAAGAGUAAUUGUUCAAGGAUAAAUAUGAGUACUUCAUCAGUUGGGGAAAUGAGAAAAAUGCUUCUGAUAGGGAAAAGCACAUUGGUUCAUCAGUUGCAAAGAAACUGAGAGAUUGCAUUCAGCCGUAUUUCUUGAGAAGAAUGAAAAGUGAAGUUUUUCGUGAUGAUGCCUCACUUUCCAACAAGAAUGAACUUAUUGUAUGGUUACGGUUGACACAAUGCCAGCGCCAACUUUAUGAAGCUUUCUUAAACAGUGAGAUUGUUCUCUCCUUGUGACGGCUCACCUCUUGCUGCACUUACGGUAAUAUCCAUCAUGUGUUUUCAAUUUCUGUUUAGAUGAGUUUUCAAUGGGCUUUGACAUACUCCCUCCGUCCCAACUAAGAUGAAACACUUUCCUUUUUAGUUUGUCCCAACUAAGAUGACACAUUUCUAUUUUUGGUAACUUUCUUUCUCCAAUUAAUACACCUAAUUACUUUUUUCUCACUCCAAUUAAAUAUUCAACUCUCUUUCUCUCUUCAUAUAAUACUUACACCCGUUAUUUCUCUCUCCAAUUAACUGCAGUAAGCCAGUAACCAAUAACUCUUAAAAUCCCGUGCCGACUAAGAAGUGUGUCAUCUUAGCCGGGACGGAUGGAGUAACAUUUUAUAUGUGCUUCAUCUUGCCAUGUUAUAAACUUGCGUUAACUAACUAAUUGUUCUUGAUUUCUAAUGCAUUGUGACUGAUACAUCUUUUAUUAAACUAAAAUCCUUUCAUGUUGCAAGAACACACAUUAUGUCAUUUGAACAUCCUUUAUAAGGAGUAUUUCACAAUUUUCCUUCUUCCAAAGUGUAAAAUUUUACUGCCAUUCACUGCAUAUGAAAUGUAAGUGAAAACUCCCAUGAUCUUUCUUUAUGUUGGCAUUGUCUUGUAUGCACUGUCAACACACUGCUGCGCUAAUAGCCCAUGCUCUGAUAUUUACCAUGAAUCUGCCAUUCAUUUGGUGUCCAUUGAAAGGUUCAUCCAUUUCAGAGUUGUUAAGUUUGAUAACACAUUGGCUUAAUUAAAAGCUAGCAUUCUAAUGAAACAAAUUAGACUAAUGCAUACGAGCAAUUAUCCCGGGAAGAUGCUUGGACAAGCUUAUUGACAAAAAGAGCAGAUUAUGUUUUGAGAAGCUUUAUUUUUUCAUUGAAUCAGAUCUUGAAAAAAAUAUGUGAUCAUCCACUUAUAUUGACAAAAAGAGCUGCU